GAGAGAGGAGAGGAUGGUAGAAGU
rnacentral:sRNA from 1 species